GAUGUAUGAUGAGUUUUAAUAUAUAUCUGACUCUAAAGCUGAUGUCUCAUCAUUUUAGCUCUAGAAUUACUCUGACAUCUG